CAGCACUGGUAGUUCACACCUGUAAUCCUAGCUACUCAGGAGGAGGAGAUCUGAGGAUCAGAGUUGAAAGCAACCCAAGCAAGAAACUUGAUGAGACUCUUAUCUCCA